rnacentral:rRNA from 1 species
GAUGAACGCUGGCGGCAGGCCUAACACAUGCAAGUCGAGCGCUCACCUUCGGGUGGGAGCGGCGCACGGGUGAGUAACACGUGGGAACCUACCUUGAAGUACGGAAUAACUGAGGGAAACUUCAGCUAAUACCGUAUGUGACCGAGAGGGGAAAGAUUUAUCGCCUUUGGAUCGGCCCGCGUCUGAUUAGCUAGUUGGUGGGGUAAUGGCCUACCAAGGCGACGAUCAGUAGCUGGUCUGAGAGGAUGGCCAGCCACACUGGGACUGAGACACGGCCCAGACUCCUACGGGAGGCAGCAGUGGGGAAUAUUGGACAAUGGGCGCAAGCCUGAUCCAGCCAUGCCGCGUGAGUGAUGAAGGCCUUAGGGUUGUAAAGCUCUUUCGCCAGGGACGAUAAUGACGGUACCUGGAUAAGAAGCCCCGGCUAACUUCGUGCCAGCCGCCGCCGUAA